CCUACGGGAGGCAGCAGUGGGGAAUAUUGGACAAUGGGGGCAACCCUGAUCCAGCCAUGCCGCGUGUGUGAAGAAGGCCCUCGGGUGGUAAAGCACUUUCAGUGAGGAAGAACGCCUGGUGGUUAAUACCCAUCAGGAAAGACAUCACUCACAGAAGAAGCACCGGCUAACUCCGUGCCAGCAGCCGCGGUAAUACGGAGGGUGCGAGCGUUAAUCGGAAUUACUGGGCGUAAAGCGCGCGUAGGUGGCUUGAUAAGCCGGUUGUGAAAGCCCCGGGCUCAACCUGGGAACGGCAUCCGGAACUGUCAAGCUAGAGUGCAGGAGAGGAAGGUAGAAUUCCCGGUGUAGCGGUGAAAUGCGUAGAGAUCGGGAGGAAUACCAGUGGCGAAGGCGGCCUUCUGGACUGACACUGACACUGAGGUGCGAAAGCGUGGGUAGCAAACAGGAUUAGAUACCCCAGUAGUC
rnacentral:rRNA from 1 species